CAGAAGGGGAGGACCACGCCCAGAGGCACGUGCAAAGCAGGAGCCUGAACGCGGAAGGAAAGGGAAAGAGAAGCCCGAAUUGGUGCACCUGGGCCUCCACGGUGGCAGUUGUCUCCACAGCCCUUCCGCUGAGCUUGUCGCAUGAAUUUUACUUUCGUAACUGACAAACCAGUGCCCUGCCCUGUCCUUUGGAAAUAGAAAGAGUCAGUCACAACGUGGCAAAAGCAGACCAUGAGGAAUAUGGACUAGGGAGCAAAAGUGAAAAUAAACAAGUGGGACCACAUCAAACUGAAAUGCUUUCCUACAGCAAUGGAAACCAUCAGCAAAAUGAAGAGGCAACCUAUGUCAUGGAAGAAAAUUUUGGCAAACCAUAUAUCUCAUAAGGGGUCACUAUUUAUAUAUAAGGGACUCCUACACCUCAACAGAAAAGAUCCAAACACCUGAUGAAAAAAUGGGCAGAGAAACUGAAAUAGAUGCUUUUUCCAAAGACACACAAAUGGCCCACAGGUACAUGAAAAGAUGCUCAAUAUCACUAAUCAUCAGGGAAAUGAAAAUCAUAACCACCCUAGAAUAUUACCUUGUACUUGUGAGGAUGGCUAUUAUAAAAAAUGUAAGAAAUAACAAUGUCGGUGAGGAUGUGGAGAAAGGGAGCUCUGUGCACGCUUGUCGCCAUGGACAGCGGUGCAGCCACUAUGGAAAACAGCAUGGAGAUGCCUCAAAAAAUCAGAAAUAGGACUACGUACAAUCCAGCAAUCCUACUUCUGGAUGUUGGUCUGAAGGGAGCAAAAACCACCUCUCAGAAGGGUCGCUGUCGUUACUGCAGCAUUAUUUACAAUAGAAACGUUCUAAGUGUCCACUGACAGAUGAAUGGAUGAAGAUUAUGUGAUAUAUAUAAUGCAAUAUUACUCAGCCAUAAAAAGAAGAAAAUCUGACUUUUGUGACAACAUGGAUGAAACUUACUGGCGCAGUGCUAAGUGAAGUAAGCCAGAUAGAAAAAAACAAAUACUGUGUAAUGCCUCUUGUGAGUGGAAUCUCUUAAAGGUGAACUGAUACAUACAGAGCAUGUGCUGGUGGCCGCCCGAGGUGUGGGGUGGUGGACCAGGGAAAUGGGCGAAGGUGGUCAAAAGGCACAAACUUCCAAUCAUCAGAUAAACAGAUUCUGACAAUGUAAGGUACAGCAGUGACUACAGUUAACGAUCCUGUGUUGUAUAUUUGAAAGUUACUGGGAGAGUAGAUCUGUGUGUGGUGAUGGAGAUUAACUUAGACUUAUUGUGGUGAUCGUUUUGUGAUAUAUACAUAUAUCAACUCAUUAUGCCGUACACCUAAAAGGAACGCAAUGUUAUGUGUCUGUUAUAGAUCACUAGAAUUGCAUUUUGAGAAAAAGAAUAAAAACCCAUAUUCAUGCAGAGA